GUGGGGAAUUUUGGACAAUGGGCGAAAGCCUGAUCCAGCAAUGCCGCGUGUGUGAAGAAGGCCUUCGGGUUGUAAAGCACUUUUGGCAGGGAAGAAACAGUGCGUGCUAAUACCAUGCGCGAAUGACAGUACCUGCAGAAUAAGCACCGGCUAACUACGUGCCAGCAGCCGCGGUAAUACGUAGGGUGCAAGCGUUAAUCGGAAUUACUGGGCGUAACGCGUGCGCCGGCGGCUUUGUAAGACGGAUAUGAAAGCCCCGGGCUCAACCUGGGAAGUGCAUUCGUGACUGCAAGGCUAGAGUGUGUCAGAGGGAGGUGGAAUUCCGCGUGUAGCAGUGAAAUGCGUAGAGAUGCGGAGGAACACCGAUGGCGAAGGCAGCCUCCUGGGAUAACACUGACGCUCAGGCACGAAAGCGUGGGGAGCAAACAGGAUUAGAAACCCUUGUAGUCC
rnacentral:rRNA from 1 species